GUGCUGGCUUGGGCAGCACAUCCACUAAAACCAGAAUGAUACAGAGAAGAUUAGCAUGGCCCCUGCACAAGGAUGACAUGCAAAUUCGUGAAACGUUCCUUAUUUUU